GACGUAGGAGGCGAGCGUUAUCCGGAUUCACUGGGCGUAAAGCGCAUGUAGCGGAUGUCUAAGUCGUGUGUUAAAGCCCCUGGCUCAACUGGGGGAGGUCAUGCGAGACUGGAUGACUUGAGGGCAACAGAGGCACGUGGGAACUCCCGGUGUAGCGGUGGAAUGCGUAGAGAUCGGGAAGAACACCCGUGGCGAAGGCGGCGUGCUGGGUUGCAACUGACGCUGAGAUGCGAAAGUGUGGGGAGCAAACGGGG
rnacentral:rRNA from 1 species